GAUGAACGCUGGCGGCGUGCCUAAUACAUGCAAGUCGAGCGAACGGACGAGAAGCUUGCUUCUCUGAUGUUAGCGGCGGACGGGUGAGUAACACGUGGAUAACCUACCUAUAAGACUGGGAUAACUUCGGGAAACCGGAGCUAAUACCGGAUAAUAUUUUGAACCGCAUGGUUCAAAAGUGAAAGACGGUCUUGCUGUCACUUAUAGAUGGAUCCGCGCUGCAUUAGCUAGUUGGUAAGGUAACGGCUUACCAAGGCAACGAUGCAUAGCCGACCUGAGAGGGUGAUCGGCCACACUGGAACUGAGACACGGUCCAGACUCCUACGGGAGGCAGCAGUAGGGAAUCUUCCGCAAUGGGCGAAAGCCUGACGGAGCAACGCCGCGUGAGUGAUGAAGGUCUUCGGAUCGUAAAACUCUGUUAUUAGGGAAGAACAUAUGUGUAAGUAACUGUGCACAUCUUGACGGUACCUAAUCAUAAAGCCACGGCUAACUACGUG
rnacentral:rRNA from 1 species